CUAUCGACUUCCGAUACCUAAACAAAGUAACUCUGAAGACGACGCGGAUCACAACUUUCUGAAAUUAUAUUUUAAAUGAUUUAAAAUAAAAGUCUUUUGAAACUUGGAGCAUUAAAGAUACGCAGAAGAGUCGGAUAUUAGAUCUGAGUGAAUAUCAUCUAAUUCAAUAUAAGUGCAUAGUUUAUAAAUCCAAAAUGAUGCCAAUUACCAGGACGCAGAUAAUGAACGUAAAAACAGUCGAGAGAUCCCAUGGAUAGUGCAGCCAGCAGCCCAGAGGCGGAUUCGGAUUUCCUACUGCCCCUAUUAAAUGGGCAUCGGUCGGCUCAAUCGUUAGUGUCGACGAGAGAGGCCUGAAUGUUCCUGGAUGAUGCUGCACACUGGAUAUGGAGCUGGGUAAAUGAUUAGGUCGCCUGGCAGGCCAGAGAUUCCUGAUUCCCGAUGCCCGAUGCCCGAUGCCCGACUGCUGAAGCUAAAGCGCUGAAUCGAAAUCAAAUUAAACUCGGUGGUGUUUGGUGUUUCUCCCAGUUGCGUGGAUGUGGACUGGACGAGCGGAGGACUGGACGAUGACGAUGAAGGAGGAGGAACGCAUUGUAUAUUUUGCAAUUUGAACAGCCGCUAGUUGCCGGCACACAGACGUUUAUAAUUCGCAGAGGUGUGCGUGGUGG